UACGUAGGGUGCAAGCGUUAUUCGGAAUUACUGGGCGUAAAGCGUGCGCAGGCGGUGAUGUAAGACAGUUCUGAAAUCCCCGGGCUCAACCUGGGAACUGCAUCUGUGACUGCAUCGCUGGAGUACGGCAGAGGGGGAUGGAAUUCCGCGUGUAGCAGUGAAAUGCGUAGAUAUGCGGAGGAACACCGAUGGCGAAGGCAAUCCCCUGGGCCUGUACUGACGCUCAUGCACGAAAGCGUGGGGAGCAAACAGG
rnacentral:rRNA from 1 species